ACCUUUGAGGUUAGUGUUGAAGACUGAGAAUGGGAUUGGCUGAGGAACCUAGCCCUGGGAAAAGGCUGGGAAUAUAAGCUGUCUGGGUUGACAGGUCCAAGGCCUAUGGAACAUUGAAGUUUUCCCACAAAAGGAAUGGGGACCAGUUCUCAGCUGUACUAGACCCUGCUCCUUCCCUUAGUUUAUGCUGACGCAGUUAAGCCUCCCAGGAGAAUUAUAAACCAGCCCAUCCAGGAAAGACGUGACUGGCACUUCACUUCUGUCCAAAUGUGGAAAAGCCCCUCACACAUCAGAAGUCCACCCAAAUAUAAUUCUAACACUUUCCUUUUGCACAGGACUGGGAUCUGUUAGCACUCAUCACUGUCUGAGAUCUGCUGUAAAGCACAUCCUAGGAAAAUGUUAUUGAAGCCACGGAAGGAGGGCUGGAAGUUCUGGCUCAGCAUGGGCUCCAACAGAAAUGGAAGCAUCUGCUGAGGCUGGACAAGAAUGCUUACCCUGAAGAGGCGUUGUUGUGAGGACCAAAUAAAAUAACAUUCACAAUGCACUGGAACAGGAUCUGGCAUAUAGCAGAACCUCAGUAAUUUCAUAUGCUCUCUCUCAGUUCAUAUACUAUAGUACAUAGUAUCUAUCUAUAGAUGUAUGUGUACAGAUAUCAUACAUAAUAUUUUACUUUUUUCAUAGAUAAAUGGACAGCAAAUCUAAUUCACUUUAUUUUGCAUAUUUACUAUUGUAUUUAUUUAAAAGAUUUAGCCUUUUUACUUUAACUUCUACUUAUGACUACCUAGAAUAAAA
rnacentral:lncRNA from 10 species